UUCCAUAGGUGUAUAGUCUUCAAAUUAUAGUUAUAGUUAUAGAUCUAGAUUAGAUAGAAUAAAAUUCUCUCACCUAUUUUUGUGUCUUGAAUUGAUUGAUUGAAUGCAAGAAAAGCCAUGUCUUCUUACUCUUCUCUGAUCUGCAUAUCCAUUGAAUUUAGCUCUGGUAACAUGCUCUAUUUUGCUCUGGGCAUUGUGGAUUGGUGGUGGUAUUAGAGAUUGCGGUUAGGCAUUAAUUGGGACUAUUGUGGUUACAAGCAUUAUGGUCAACCUAUGAAAUACAUAUAUUCUUCAGCAUUUCCCAAACAAGGUGUCAAGAACAA